UACGUAGGGGGCGAGCGUUGUCCGGAAUCAUUGGGCGUAAAGAGCGUGUAGGCGGUCCGGUAAGUCGGCUGUGAAAGUCCAGGGCUCAACCCUGGGAUGCCGGUCGAUACUGCCGGACUAGAGUUCGGAAGAGGCGAGUGGAAUUCCCGGUGUAGCGGUGAAAUGCGCAGAUAUCGGGAGGAACACCUAUGGCGAAGGCAGCUCGCUGGGACGUUACUGACGCUGAGACGCGAAAGCGUGGGGAGCAAACAGG
rnacentral:rRNA from 1 species